UCGUGAUAGGGAUAUACUGAA
rnacentral:miRNA from 1 species